AAUUGCUGUAAGAAAGGCAUACCUGCUGGGCAUGGUGGCUCACGUUUGUAAUGCAGACUAAAGUGCCCUAUUAUGGAAAAAAUGCCUCAAAGGACAUUUAUUAGUAAGGAAGAGAAGCGAACACUUAAGGCAGGUAGGGAUAUGCUGACUCUACUGUUGCGUGCAAAUGGUGUCAGAUUUAUGAUGAGGCUGCCCUUACAUAGAAAACUGCUAACCUCCAAGCCUUGAAAGAUAAAGCUGCCAGUCUUCCAGUUGUACAACAAGAAGGCCUGGACAACAAGAACCCUUCUUCUGGAUUGGUUCCACCGACGCUUUGUCCUUGAAGUUAGGAAGUACCUUGCCAGUUAGUUACUUUGAUAUUAGACAGUGUCCCUGGCCACCAAGAACCCCAUGAAUGCAACAAUGAAGGUGCCGAAGUGGUCUCAUUGCCCCCAAACACAGCAUCUCUAAUUCAGCCUCUAGAUCAGGGGGUCAUAAGGACCUUUAAGGCUCAUUACACACUGUGGAAAGGACUGUCAACACUAUGGAAGAAAAGCCUGAUGUAGAGAACAUUAGAA
rnacentral:lncRNA from 1 species